UCCCGGUUUGGGAUCUGGGACGGGACGGAGCCCCAGAACCACCACGGGCACACCUGGUGAGGCCAGGCUGGCACAGCCACACGGACACGGGCUGUGGAUCUGGGAUCCAGGGUGGGAUCUGGGCCUGGGAUCCGGGACUGGGGUCUGGAUCUGGGAUCCAGGAUCUGGAUCUUGGAUCCAAUCUGGAUCUGGGAUCUGGGUUCCAGCUCUGGGAUCCAGCUCUGGGAUCUGGGAUCCAGCUUUGGGAUCUGGCUCUGGGAUUCAGGAUCCGACUCGGGGAUCCAGUCUGGGUUUGAAAUCCACUCUGGCUCUGGGAUCUGGGUUCCAGCUCUGGGAUCUGGGAUCCAUUCUGGCUCUGAGAUCCAGGAUCUGGGUCUUGGAUCUGGUUCUGGGAUCCAGCUCUGGGUUCCAGCUCUGGGUUCCAUUCUGGCUCUGGAAUCUGGGAUCUGGGUCUUGGAUCUGGCUCUGGGUUCCAGCCCUGGGUUCCAGCCCUGGGUUCCAGCUCUGGGUUCCAUUCUGGCUCUGGGAUCUGGGAUCUGGGUCUUGGAUCUGGCUCUGGAAUCUGGGAUCCAGCUCUGGGAUCCAUUCUGGCUCUGGGUUCCAGCUCUGGGUUCCAGCUCCGGGUUCCAGCUCUGGGUUCCAUUCUGGCUCUGGAAUCUGGGUUCCAGCUCUGGCAUCUGGGAUCCAUUCCAGCUCUGGGUUCCAGCUCUGGGAUCCAUUCUGGCUCUGGGAUCCAUUCCAGCUCUGGGUUCCAGCUCUGGGAUCCAUUCUGGCUCUGAGAUCCAGGAUCUGGGUCUUGGAUCUGGCUCUGGGUUCCAGCUUUGGGUUCCAGCUCUGGGAUCCAUUCUGGCUCUGAGAUCCAGGAUCUGGGUCUUGGAUCUGGCUCUGGGUUCCAGCUUUGGGUUCCAGCUCUGGGUUCCAUUCUGGCUCUGGAAUCUGGGAUCUGGGUCUUGGAUCCGGCUCUGGAAUCUGGGAUCCAGCUCUGGGAUCUGGGAUCUGUUCUGGCUCUGGGAUCCAGCUCUGGGAUCCAGCUCUGGGAUCCGUUCCAGCUCUGGGUUCCAGCUCUGGGUUCCAUUCUGGCUCUGGCAUCUGGGAUCUGGGUCUUGGAUCUGGCUCUGGAGUCUGGGAUCCAGCUCUGGGAUCUGGGAUCCAUUCUGGCUCUGGGAUCCAUUCCAGCUCCGGGUUCCAGCUCUGGGAUCCAUUCUGGCUCUGGGAUCUGGGAUCUGGGUCCUGGAUCUGGCUCUGGGUUCCAGCUCUGGGUUCCAGCCCUGGGUUCCAUCCUGGCUCUGGCAUCUGGGAUCUGGGUCUUGGAUCUGGCUCUGGAAUCUGGGAUCCAUUCUGGCUCUGGGUUCCAGCUCUGGGAUCCGUUCUGGCUCUGGGAUCCAAUCUGGCUCUGGGUUCCAGCUCCGGGUUCCAGCUCUGGGAUCCAUUCUGGCUCUGGGAUCCAGCUCUGGGUUCCAUUCUGGCUCUGGAAUCUGGGAUCCAUUCCAUCUCUGGGAUCCAGCCCUGGGUUCCAGCUCCGGGUUCCAGCUCUGGGAUCCGUUCUGGCUCUGGGUUCCAGCCCUGGGUUCCAUCCC
ensembl:lncRNA